rnacentral:lncRNA from 1 species
UUUAGUCGUUGGCUCCGAACCUCCUCACCCCACCGAACCUGACUUAGGUUCUGGGACUUCAUCAUUUUUGGCGAGCCAGCCAGGAGAUUUGUGAGUCUUUACAUUUGGACUCUGAGCUUCGGUGCAAAAUUGGAGCAAGAAGAGCACCCCCUGGACCUAACACCCCCACUCCAGAUCUUCCCACUUGUGUCUCAGGUAAACAUUCAAAGCGGAGUGGUUCUGGGACUUCAUCAGCUUUAAGGUCCAGAGA